rnacentral:sRNA from 1 species
GCCGGGCGCAGUAGGGCACACCUGUCAUCCCAGCAGCUUGGGAGGCUGAGGCAGGAGGAUCGCGGGUUCAAAGACAGCCUCAGCAAAAAAGUGGGGUGCCAAGCAACUCAGUGAGAUCCUGUCUUUA